UUUGAAUUGGAUUGGAGGUGAUGAGGAAAGGAAAAAAAAAAAGUUCACUAUGACCCUUAGGAGUUUAUUAAAAAAAAAAAAAAGGGAUAGGAUGAUAGCAGGGAAUGUGGAGUGUCAAUGAUUUUUUAAAAAGGAGGACCUCCCUGCCAGUUAAAGUAAGCCAUGUCACCCAUGGAUUUGGAGAUGGGUAACCAUGUCAAAGAAAUGAUGGCUGCAAAAUUAAACUUAAAUUUAUAAACUCAACAUUGAAAUCUCAUAUAUAAGAGAAAAAUUUAGAUUUGAGCAGAGGGGAUUUCUUUUUUCCUACUCUCAGACUACAUUUGAGACUCCUUUGGCUUUGAGAGGAUUAUCAGAGAGAACCCACAGAAAUAGGAUGUGUGCAGAAAGAGACUCUCUUCAAAGAUUUUUUUGCCAAGUCUUACAUGCUCUGGAAAUGUUAAAAGCCUUUUGGGAAUAUGUUGAUGUUGAAAGAAGUUAAUACAUUCCACAUGCUUCUAUGAUUUUCUAUUAAGUUCAAGUUAUUUUACUCACAAAAAGUAACACAAUAAAUCCUUUUG